AUUGAACGCUGGCGGCAUGCUUUACACAUGCAAGUCGAACGGUAACAGGUUAAGCUGACGAGUGGCGAACGGGUGAGUAAUGCAUCGGAACGUGCCCGAUCGUGGGGGAUAACGCAGCGAAAGCUGCGCUAAUACCGCAUACGAUCUGAGGAUGAAAGCGGGGGACCGUAAGGCCCCGCGCGAUCGGAGCGGCCGAUGUCAGAUUAGGUAGUUGGUGGGGUAAAGGCCCACCAAGCCGACGAUCUGUAGCUGGUCUGAGAGGACGACCAGCCACACUGGGCAUGAGACACGGCCCAGACUCCUACGGGAGGCAGCAGUGGGGAAUUUUGGACAAUGGGCGAAAGCCUGAUCCAGCAAUGCCGCGUGCAGGAAGAAGGCCUUCGGGUUGUAAACUGCUUUUGUACGGAGCGAAAAGGUCCUUUCUAAUACAGGGGGCUCAUGACGGUACCGUAAGAAUAAGCACCGGCUAACUACGUGCCAGCCGCCGCGGUAA
rnacentral:rRNA from 1 species